GCUUGGGUGGCUCAGUCAGUUGAGCGCCUGACUUACGCUCAGGUCAUGAUCUCGAGUUUCAUGAGUUCAAGCCCCACAUCAGGCU
rnacentral:tRNA from 1 species